AGGACGAACGCUGGCGGCGUGCCUAAUGCAUGCAAGUCGAGCGACGAAUAGGUGCGGGUAACCAAGCCUAUUACGGAGCGGCGAACGGGUGAGUAACACGUGAGCAACCUGCCCCGAAGACCGGGAUAGCCCAGGGAAACUUGGAUUAAUACCGGAUAUCCGUCCUUUGAUCGCAUGGUCGUUGGAAGAAAUCUUUACGCUUCGGGAUGGGCUCGCGGCCUAUCAGCUUGUGGUGGGUAACGCUACCAAGCGUCGACGGGUAGCUGGUCUGAGAGGACGAUCAAGCCACACUGGGACUGAGACACGGCCCAGACUCCUACGGGAGGCAGCAGCAGGGAAUUUGCGCAAUGGCGAAAGCCUGACGCAGCAACGCCGCGUGGGAUGAAGGCCGUUCGGGUUAGUAAACCCGUUUAGGAGGACGAAAGUUGACGUACCGUCAACG
rnacentral:rRNA from 1 species